rnacentral:tRNA from 1 species
GGGGAUAUGGCGGAAUUGGUAGACGCACUGUGUUCAGGUCGCAGCGCCUUCUGGGUGUGAGAGUUCGAGUCUCUCUAUCCCCACCA